rnacentral:rRNA from 1 species
UCCUGGCUCACGGAUGAACGCUGGCGGCGUGCCUAACACAUGCAAGUCGAACGGGGCGCGCAGGCGUGAGGCUUUUCGGAGCGGAAGCCGGCGCUGCCCAGUGGCGGACGGGUGAGUAACGCGUGGGCAACCUGCCCUGCACUGGGGGACAACAGCCGGAAACGGCUGCUAAUACCGCAUAUGCCCGCAGCCCCGCAUGGGGCGGCGGGGGAAGCUCCGGCGGUGCAGGAUGGGCCCGCGUCUGAUUAGCUGGUUGGCGGGGCAACGGCCCACCAAGGCGUACGAUCAGUAGCCGGCCUGAGAGGGUGGGCGGGCCACAUUGGGACUGGAGACACGGCCCAGACUCCUACGGGAGGCAGCAGUGGGGGAUAUUGCACAAUGGGGGGAACCCUGAUGCAGCGACGCCGCGUGGGCGAUGGAGUGCUUCCGGCAUGUAAAGCCCUAUCAGCAGGGAAGAAAAUGACGGUACCUGACUAAGAAGCCCCGGCUAAAUACGUG